CGACUCGUCACAUCCUCGAGCUGCAGAAGGUUCGAAGGGUUCGGCUGUUCGCCGAUUAAAGUGGUACGUGAGUUGG
rnacentral:ncRNA from 1 species